GACGAACGCUGGCGGCGUGCCUAACACAUGCAAGUCGAGCGGGGUUGAAGCGAGGGGUAACUCGAGUUUCUACCUAGCGGCGGACGGGUGAGUAACGCGUGGGCAACCUGCCUCAAGGACUGGGAUAACAGCUCGAAAGGGCUGCUAAUACCGGAUAAGCCUAUGGCCUCGCAUGGGGCCAUGAGCAAAGGGGAAACCCGCCUUGAGAUGGGCCCGCGUCCCAUCAGCUAGUUGGUGAGGUGAAGGCUCACCAAGGCGACGACGGGUAGCCGGCCUGAGAGGGUGACCGGCCACACUGGGACUGAGACACGGCCCAGACUCCUACGGGGGGCAGCAGUGGGGAAUCUUGCACAAUGGGCGAAAGCCUGAUGCAGCGACGCCGCGUGAGCGAAGAAGGCCUUCGGUUGUAAAGCUCUGUCUGGAGGGACGGAAGGAAGGUGACGGUACCGUCCGGACGGAAGGCCACGGCUAACUACGUGCCAGCAGCCGCGGUAACUAGUCACGUCGC
rnacentral:rRNA from 1 species